rnacentral:rRNA from 1 species
UACGUAGGGGGCAAGCGUUGUCCGGAAUCAUUGGGCGUAAAGAGCGUGUAGGCGGCUCGAUAAGUCUGCUGUGAAAGUCCAGGGCUCAACCCUGGAAGGCCGGUGGAAACUGUCGGGCUAGAGUCCGGAAGAGGCGAGUGGAAUUCCCGGUGUAGCGGUGAAAUGCGCAGAUAUCGGGAGGAACACCAAUGGCGAAGGCAGCUCGCUGGGACGGUACUGACGCUGAGACGCGAAAACGUGGGGAGCAAACAGG